rnacentral:rRNA from 1 species
AGCUAAGCUUAAAACCCAAAGGACUUGACGGUACCCCAUAUCCCCCUAGAGGAGCCUGUCCUAUAAUCGAUAAUCCACGUUAAACCUCACCAUUUUUAGUUACUCAGCCUGUAUACCUCCGUCGUCAGCUUACCACGUGAGCGCUAAUUAGUGAGCUUAAUGUUUAUUCACCAACACGUCAGGUCAAGGUGCAGCAAAUGAAGUGGAAAGAGAUGGGCUACACUUUCUAAAUUAGAAGAAACGAAAAACUAUCUAUGAAACCUAGUUAGAAGGCGGAUUUAGCAGUAAAAAGGAAUCAGCACGUCCAUUUUAACCCGGCACUGGGGUGUGUACACACCGCCCGUCACCCUCUUCAAAGCUAUCAGCCUAGUCCUUAACAAACUAAAGCACGACAGAAGAGGCAAGUCGUAACAUGGUAAGUAUACCGGAAGGUGUGCUUGGAAA